rfam:Thermoanaerobacter pseudethanolicus ATCC 33223, complete genome.
GCAAUCCUGGGAAGUUUGUAUUAGGCUAAUUUGUUUUCAACCAACGCACCUUUUUCGGGAAUCCGGGUUCAUCAGUGGAAGAAAUGCCUGCUAAGACAGGACUUCAGAAGCUGAUGACAGGGUACCCACCUGCGAGAGCGGGUAUGAAAACAUAGCCUUACGGCUUCGUGGGACAAAA